rnacentral:rRNA from 1 species
AGAGUUUGAUCCUGGCUCAGGACGAACGCUGGCGGCGUGCUUAACACAUGCAAGUCGAACGGUAAGGCCCCUUCGGGGGUACACGAGUGGCGAACGGGUGAGUAACGCGUGGAUACCUGCCCUUGAGUGGGGAAUAACCCGGGGAAACUCGGGCUAAUACCGCAUACGACCGAGAGGUCAAAGGGGGCUCGCAAGAGCUUCCGCUGAAGGAGGGGUCCGCGUCCGAUUAGCUAGUUGGUAGGGUAAUGGCCUACCAAGGCGACGAUCGGUAGCCGGCCUGAGAGGGUGAUCGGCCACACUGGAACUGAGACACGGUCCAGACUCCUACGGGAGGCAGCAGUGGGGAAUAUUGGACAAUGGGCGAAAGCCUGAUCCAGCAAUGCCGCGUGGGUGAAGAAGGUCUUCGGAUUGUAAAGCCCUUUCGACGGGGACGAUGAUGACGGUACCCGUAGAAGAAGCCCCGGCUAACUUCGUGCCAGCAGCGGCGGUAAUUC